AAAAAUAUCAAAAUUAAUCCAAAAAAUGUUUUUUUUUUCUUUUUUUUUUAAUUCAAAAUAUGGAAGAGAAAAAUAUUUAAAGAUUUUUGGUGAAAGGCCCAUAUUUUUUGGAUUAAAAAUGAAUUUAAUAUGAAUUAAAUAAAAUAUGGGUAAUUAAAAAUAAAAUCAGGAAUAAUAAAAAUAAAUGGAAAAACCUGGGCCAUCAGAUCUCUCUUAUUAAUUGAGGUGGCAGAUAUGAUGACCACGCGCUAAGGUGCAC
rnacentral:lncRNA from 1 species